UUGCUUCGUUUCCACAUUAGUAGCAAUUGUUUUCACAGAUAAGCAUUGGUGUGUGAUGCAAUUGCUAUCGCGUAGAUAACUUUCUAUCCCCACGUUUUGUCAGUAUUAAUUUCAACCCUUUCACUAGUUCUCCUGAUUUUGAAAAUGACAAGCACAAAUGAACGCCGCCAGCUUGAAAUGGAAUUAACCGACCUCAUAGAUGCUGAAAAUUUAAGGGGGAAGGAUGCAGCAUUAGCUUACAACAACAGGGGACAUAUAAGAUAUUUGCAAGUGAACUUUGAUGGAGCAAUAGAAGAUUAUGAUAAAGCAAUAGCAAUCGAUCCUGACCUAGCAGUUGCAUAUUACAACAGAGGAACCGUUUUUUACAGACUAGGCAGGUGGCACUAAUUUGAUGUGGACUUCGAGAAAAGUACAUUCAUACAGCUAUAGUAAGAAAACAAGUGAUGACUCCAAAGUUGUGGGUAUAGCUGUAUCCUAAAUUGACAGACAGUAGUAAUAUUUUCAGAAAAAGAUGUGUAUGUUACAGAGGUUGACACAGGAUCUGGAGUUUGGAAAGAAAGUUUGAGGAUGCACUAACAGACAUGGAACAGGCUGUAAGACUGGAAGCAAAAAAUGGAGAAUUUGCGGAAGGACUAACUGCUUGUCUUACAAAGAAAAAUCAAGUAAUUGCAAAAUAAUAUUCUUUUGUAUUAAAAUUCAAUGUGCUUGACAAUCCAUGUUAUAAUUUGCAAUACAAAUAAAUUUGUAACUGAAAUGCAUAUUGUUUCAUUCAUCAUCAAAGGCACAAUUAAAUGUUUAUAAGACAGGGUAUUGCCAUGAUGCUGAAUUUUUUUCCCCACAAACAUAUAUAUAUAUUUACAAAACAAGCACUGUUGAUUUACACAAUAUUUUUGAAUUGCUGUUGUAUUGUUUCACUAUAUUGGUGUUAUUAGGAGAAAGAGCACCCACUUUUUAUUACCUCUGGAGCUAGAACAUUUGUUUUUAAUUUUUAGCUAGGAGAGUAAAAUGUUCCAAUAUUUUUUAAGAGAUCAAAAGAUUAAAACAAAUAUUUGUAUCAACACAACUAACAUGUUGUGCUUUUGACAAAUUUAUUUACAAGAUGAUAAGGUACCUGAUGAUGCUUUCUACACACUUGCAUUUUGACAUAGUCUCAAAGAUUACCAAACAAGUAGCUGUUAGAAUUUUAGGCACUAUAUUUGCACUGUGGCAACACAAGAAGCUAUACAGAUUGAA